CGACGAACUCUUCGUCGGCAUC
rnacentral:miRNA from 1 species